CACAUUCACUAGCUGAAAGCUUUGCCACCCGGACAAAAAAUGGUGGCUCUGGAGCUCUUCCACUCCUCCACUCUCUCUAAAACCCUUUCCCUCCUCUCCCCAUUGGCAUUUCCCAAAACUCCCCUUCCUCCCUCCCUCUUCCCUCCAACUCUCCGCUCUCUCUCCCUCUCUCCCCUCCCCCCCUCUCUCCCAAAACGUUCUUUUCUUCCCCAUUGCCUUUCCCGCUUCCCUCACGCCAACCAACAGCAAGAAGAACAAGUAAAAGAGGAGCUAGAAGAAGAGGAACUCGAAGAAUUCGGCGAGGACGAGGAAGAAGGCGAUGAAUCCAAAGGCCAGGAUUUUUCGGAUGUCGACGUCGAUGCUCUCGAAGAAGAAGCGAGAUAUGCGUUUCUUCAAUACUCUAGCUCGUUGUCGCGUGAAUUGAGAAUCGAGGACGAGGCGGAUGAUCAAACCCGCAGGAAUCAAAAAGGGGGAAGGCGUAAAACUACGACUACAAGUAUCCCCGACCAUCUUCUUCCGAGGGUUACAAUUGUUGGAAGGCCAAACGUUGGUAAAUCAGCAUUAUAUAAUCGUCUUGUCGGGUUACAAUUAUUGUUAGCUUUUCGCCCGCAGCGGAUGAUUGCUGAGUGGCUGCAGAAGAACCACUCAAAUAAGUUUGUCAUUCUUGCAGUUAACAAGUGUGAAUCUCCUCAUAAGGGAAUGAUGCAAGCAUCAGAAUUUUGGUCCUUUGCGUGAGUUUUUCUUUUACAGAAAGAGUAUUGGAAUUCUAUCAAAUGGCAGGCGCAUAUUAGUUAAUAAUACUUACAGGUUUUUCCAAGACAAGUUGAGUGACUAAAAAUUUAGAUGGACAUAAUUUCAUUAUUUUGGUAACGAAAUUCAAGUUUCUCCAUUCCAAUGUCAAAGUAAUGUCUCCAAGUGCUGAUACUUGCAUUUUAUCUCUGGGAUCUGUUUAGUAUCUACUCUCUCUCUCUCUCUCUCUCUCUCCCUCCCUCUGUGUGUGUGUGUGUGUGUUUGUGUGUCGACAGUCUUGGCUAUCUACCAAUACAUUCGAUUUGUAGUAUAUCUUUCAUUAUUAACACAAUCUGUUUGUAUCAUUGGCAUUGUAGCAUAUAUGUGGUGGACUUAAAUUCUCUAUUUCUUCAUGAAUCUGGUUCUAAUUACCUCCUUUUUUGGUUGAUCAACUUGCUUUUCCCCACUUCCCAUAUCUGCUCUGUCUGGGACGGGAACUGGAGAUCUUCUUGAUCUUGUUUGUUCAGGACUU